UGUGUCCUCUAAUUAGCAUCACAGGUGUCUUCAAACUUGUAAUCAGUCAGUCUGCCUAUUUAAAGGGUGAAAAGUAGUCACUGUGCUGUUUGGUGACAUGGUGUGUACCACACUGAACAUGGACCACAGGAAGCGAAGGAGAGGGUUGUCUCAGGAGAUUAGAAAGAAAAUGAUAGACAAGCAUGUAAAAGGUAAAGGCAAUGGGCCAAUUGCUCUGUCAGUUAGCAUUGCACUAGCUGUGCUGCGCUUUAAAACGGUACUCCUUAAAACAGGUUUUGGAGUUUAACACGCAGCUGUGCACGAAGUUGAACGUGAUUGCUGUUUAAGGACUCACACAGGAUCAGCUGAUUCCUAGUUUUUCUCGGGUUAAACUGCUUGGAAACCGGAAGUACUCUGAUUUCUAGUAUACCCCAGCAGAUGCAGUCUUAACUUAAUGGUGGAUGCAUUUUGUGCUAUAAUAAAAAAUGCUAUAAUAAUAAUUACAAACAAAAACGUAAUGGGAAUGUAAAGUGAACUUUAAUAUAAUAAAACGCAAAUAAUGUUGAAACAUAUUAUGAAAUAGUCUAGGCUACUUUUUGUGGAAAUCUGAGUCUGGAAUCUGAUUCUGCCCUCACCUAUGUCAAUCAAUUACUUGUCAUUGUUUUCUCUUGGUGUGUAUGCAAACGAGAUUAAUUAAUUAAUUGAAGACUAACUAAUACGGCUGUGCGAGUAAUUAGGGUAAUUUCACGCCUAUAAAUUCUCGGAGAAGGAGUGAUGAACAUGUCGCGGAUAGGGAACUUCAACGAGGAGCAGAAGUUAUAUUUGCUGCACUGCAUUCGAGGUGUUGUGGACACGGUGGAAAAUGCAAGGAAAGACACCGCCACCACGCUCCGAAGAAAGGCUGUUUGGGAUAAUCUCGCAAACUCAUUCAACUGUAGAUUUUCCAGCAGAAGACUGAGCAGCCCGGCACAUUUAAAAAAUCGAUGGAAGCGCUUGAAAGUAGAAGCGCGAAAAAAGCUAUUGUUGAGCGGACAAACGACGAUGACCUGGGCCCCGUGAGCCGUGAAAUAUCUCUUGUUAUUCCUAAUAUAAUAAGUGCAAUAGAGGGGGUACACGACAGUGAUAGUGUCCAUCAGGUACACCAAUCAGGGCAUCAGUCAACUCCACUCUCACCACCUGUAGAGCCUCUUUGUCCCUCAGUAAGACAAAGCGAGCGGCCACCAACACCUGCAUCCUCCAGCGGUGUUUCAACCUCGAUCCACAGUCAAGCUCAGCGACACACCUCCAGCCGUGCAAUAAUCCCCCUGCCCCGCAGGCAAACUCCCCAACCUACCUCCAGCACCAUAACUGCGUCCCAAGCAUCCGAUGCUCAGCCGGUUGACCCAAAGCAGUCACUCAGCAGCACCAGAAUCCUCCUGCCCCAGAGGCAAACUCCCCAACCUACCUCCGGCACCAUCACUGCGUCCCAAUCUGCUCAGCCAGACCGAAAGUCACCCACCAGCGCAUCAAGUUCCGAAGCCCAGGGCACCCCGUCCACAACCAGGGAGCCUUAGUAUGGGGAAAGUUCGGGAAGCGACGCAGGCCAGCUGGCUCCUGAGAGAAUGGCCCGAACUGUGCGCCAACGCGCAUUGCCCUGCUUUGAGCAGCAUAUGUUUCAAAUGAGCCGGGAGGAACAUGAGCUCAAGAUGGAGCUUAUCAGGGCCCAAGCACGCCGUGAUGAGGAGCUGCAUGGUGAACGAAGGAAAGCUCUACGGGCAAAAAGGAAAGCCUAUGACACUAAAAUGAGCUAUUAUUGAGCUAAAUUGCAUCAGCAUGGCGAUUCACAACCACUGACCAGCAGCUCAAGUUCUGUGUGUGUGUGUGUGUGUGUGUGUGUGUGUGUGUGUGUGUGUGUGUGUGUUUUAUUUACUUGAUCGUGUAAUUUCUUAAUAAAUAUUUGCUUGCGUAAUGGCCAGUGUGCGGGAUUCCUUCCAAGUUCAUAAUUUACGACCUUUGGUCAUCUCCAACCAGG
ensembl:lncRNA